rnacentral:rRNA from 1 species
GAAUCUGCCCUCAGGAGGGGGAUAACGGUUGGAAACGACCGCUAAUACCCCAUAUGCCGAUAGGUGAAAUGAAUUUCGCCUGAGGAUGAGCUCGCGUCUGAUUAGCUAGUUGGUGAGGUAAUGGCUCACCAAGGCUUCGAUCAGUAGCUGGUCUGAGAGGAUGAUCAGCCACACUGGGACUGAGACACGGCCCAGACUCCUACGGGAGGCAGCAGUGGGGAAUUUUCCGCAAUGGGCGAAAGCCUGACGGAGCAACGCCGCGUGAGGGACGAAGGCCUCUGGGCUGUAAACCUCUUUUCUCAAGGAAGAAGAUAUGACGGUACUUGAGGAAUAAGCCACGGCUAAUUCCGUGCCAGCAGCCGCGGUAAUACGGGAGUGGCAAGCGUUAUCCGGAAUUAUUGGGCGUAAAGCGUCCGCAGGCGGCCUUUCAAGUCUGCUGUUAAAGCGUGGAGCUUAACUCCAUUAUGGCAGUGGAAACUGAUCGGCUUGAGUAUGGUAGGGGCAGAGGGAACUCCCGGUGUAGCGGUGAAAUGCGUAGAUAUCGGGAAGAACACCAGUGGCGAAGGCGCUCUGCUGGGCCAUUACUGACGCUCAUGGACGAAAGCCAGGGGAGCGAAAGGGAUUAGAUACCCCUGUAGUCCUGGCCGUAAACGAUGAACACUAGGUGUCGGGGGAAUCGACCCCUUCGGUGUCGUAGCUAACGCGUUAAGUGUUCCGCCUGGGGAGUACGCACGCAAGUGUGAAACUCAAAGGAAUUGACGGGGGCCCGCACAAGCGGUGGAGUAUGUGGUUUAAUUCGAUGCAACGCGAAGAACCUUACCAGGGUUUGACAUCCUGAGAACCUCUUAGAAAUUUGAGGGUGCCUUCGGGAAUUCAGUGACAGGUGGUGCAUGGCUGUCGUCAGCUCGUGUCGUGAGAUGUUGGGUUAAGUCCCGCAACGAGCGCAACCCACGUUUUUAGUUGCCAGCAUUUAGUUGGGCACUCUAGAAAGACCGCCGGUGAUAAACCGGAGGAAGGUGUGGAUGACGUCAAGUCAUCAUGCCCCUUACACCCUGGGCUACACACGUACUACAAUGCUACGGACAAAGGGCAGCAAACUCGCGAGAGCUAGCAAAUCCCAUAAACCGUGGCUCAGUUCAGAUCGUAG